UGGCGUAAUGAUGGCCAGGCUGUCUCCACCCGAGACUCAGUGAAAUUGAACUCGCUGUGAAGAUGCAGUGUACCCGCGGCAAGACGGAAAGACCCCGUGAACCUUUACUAUAGCUUGACACUGAACAUUGAGCCUUGAUGUGUAGGAUAGGUGGGAGGCUUUGAAGUGUGGACGCCAGUCUGCAUGGAGCCGACCUUGAAAUACCACCCUUUAAUGUUUGAUGUUCUAACGUGGACCCGUGAUCCGGGUUGCGGACAGUGUCUGGUGGGUAGUUUGACUGGGGCGGUCUCCUCCUAAAGAGUAACGGAGGAGCACGAAGGUUGGCUAAUCCUGGUCGGACAUCAGGAGGUUAGUGCAAUGGCAUAAGCCAGCUUGACUGCGAGCGUGACGGCGCGAGCAGGUGCGAAAGCAGGUCAUAGUGAUCCGGUGGUUCUGAAUGGAAGGGCCAUCGCUCAACGGAUAAAAGGUACUCCGGGGAUAACAGGCUGAUACCGCCCAAGAGUUCAUAUCGACGGCGGUGUUUGGCACCUCGAUGUCGGCUCAUCACAUCCUGGGGCUGAAGUAGGUCCCAAGGGUAUGGCUGUUCGCCAUUUAAAGUGGUACGCGAGCUGGGUUUAGAACGUCGUGAGACAGUUCGGUCCCUAUCUGCCGUGGGCGCUGGAGAACUGAGGGGGGCUGCUCCUAGUACGAGAGGACCGGAGUGGACGCAUCACUGGUGUUCGGGUUGUCAUGCCAAUGGCACUGCCCGGUAGCUAAAUGCGGAAGAGAUAAGUGCUGAAAGCAUCUAAGCACGAAACUUGCCCCGAGAUGAGUUCUCCCUGAGACUUUAGGUCUCCUGAAGGAACGUUGAAGACGACGACGUUGAUAGGCCGGGUGUGUAAGCGCAGCGAUGCGUUGAGCUAACCGGUACUAAUGAACCGUGAGGCUUAACCUUACA
rnacentral:rRNA from 1 species